AAACAGCAACAUUACACACUGUUUAAAAUGAAAAAAGUGAAAUCGCAGUCAACCCCCCCCCUUUAAAGUUAAUUCACAGAGGACCACACAAGCCUCCAUAAGAGGAGACGUAAUACCCCUCAGGCGUACUACCUUCGGUCAGGUGGUCCUGUCCGUCCGGGGUGGGAACCUGUGAAAUAGUCUGCCUAAAACACUGAGAGAAUGCCCUACAUAUAGCUAAUUUAAAGUCCAAUUAAAAAAUGGUUAUGGGAAAACCAAAAUUUCAAACAUUAGUGGAUAUUUGCUCCCUUUUUGGACCUCCCUCUAGUAGCGGAUUGUAGAUGUAUUGCAGUUUUUCACACUUCCGGGUAGGCUUCAUUUUUCAGAUUAGAAUGUUGCCGCUUGGUUUCUACAUUGGCCCCAAACGAACAAACGCUUUUCGUCACUAUGUUGUUCUUCAUGCAAUGAAGCUAGCUAAAGUCAGCGAAUAAAACACAAUAAUAUUCGUAAUAACAUAUCGUUUUACUAAAUAAUAAAGUAAAAAUAUUUUCUUAAUUUAUCUUUGUAAAGAAACCUCAUUGCUUAACUGGCAACUUUCUGCUGUCUCAGACGAUGACAUUUUCCUAUCGGCCAUGUUGGUUGCAAUUUGCAACCUCAGCACUAGAUGCUGCUAAAAAUUACACACUGCACCUUUAAAAAGCUGUGAGAUGGGAUGGAUAAAUAUAUUUGUAUUAUUUCAUGUUCUUCCAUAUUAUUUUAUUAUUUAUUGAUAAACUUCAUUUAAAUGGUGUCUAUAGGCAACACUGCAUGCAAAAUAAUAGGCUAUAAUAUAUUUAUAUAAUAAUUUCUUAAUUACACCCUUAUUUUGUCUUUCUUAAUUAAAAAUACAUAUUAUAUGCCUAUCCAUUUCUGACAAUUUCAGGUUGCUAUGGUCGCGCAGGUUGUUUAUUAAUUUAACUCAUGGCCAUGAGAGAUAGAUUUAGUUCCCUCAACAUAUGAAGCCGUGACCACGUGAAAAAUAUGUCAUUCUCUCAGCAUAGAAUCUCAAGGCCACAACUUAACAUUGCGUGGCCACAGCAUACGGAUGACAUUAUCUAACAAAAAUGUGUGGCCAUGACUUAUCACGUUUCCACAAGUUUAUAUGUCGUGGCCACAACAAAACUACCUCUCCCGGUCACCUUUCUAAAGUAAUUUUCCAUCCUUUAAUUUUCCGGCCUUGGACAAGGGGGAAUUUUCAAGCCCCACUGCCCCCCUCGCCCCAACACAACGCUAAAGCUUAAAAUGUUCAAAUUUAUUGAAGUAACAAGUAGUAUCUAAAUAAAAACAAAAACAAAAAUAGAGAAGAUAAAAGUGCUGCUGUGUCAAAAUGUUUAAAAAAAAGAAAAGAAGAGAAAUCCAUUUGGCAAGACAGGUGAGGUCUAUUUAAAAACAUUAAAAUAGACAUAACAUAGGCUACUGUGUUUGAUAUGGGAUUAAAAUGAAGGGCAGUGUAUGAGAUAUAAUCUAAUGAUUAAUUAUGUCAAUAUUCCUUUGUUCCGAUCAAAGCAUGCGAAGAGCGCAUUUCUGAAGAUUCCUCGGCUCGCUCAUUCCGCUCAGGGUCGCGCGCUCAAUCCUGCUUCCGACUAAAGGUUCUUUCUAGUCGACUAUCAGUUGCUUAUUUAAGCCAUUAGUGGACAAAUCGCCCCUUUAUAUUGAUUUAAUAACUUAAAUAGGCUAUACAGGAUAAUGAUAAAGCCGCACUCAAGCGUACGAGCCGGCAAAAGUGAAUGUGUAAAAAAUAGCAAGGAGGCAUUUAAUUGUUUAUUAAUAAACUGGUGUUUUCUGCGUCGCUGCAAAGAUGAAGAUGCGAUGUGUUACAGGUACCGGCCGGUGUCAUGUAAACAGCUUAUAUGCUCUUGCUCUGAAACAGGAGAAAUAAAUGAGAGAGGGCAAAGUCUGUGUCCGUCUUCCAUCUCGCUCAGCAGAAAGAGAGAGAAUUUAUUACACAACCAUUCUCAAUCCUACUUGGUUACAAACACAAUAUUUUCUCAUGAAAUAGACAGUUUCAAAAGUAAAAUACAAUUUGUCUUUUCUCAUCUUUCAGCAAUUACUGAGAUAUAAAUUGUGUAUGACCAAAUAAAUCAAUAUGACAAAACCUCAUUUACCAUGUCAGUAGUCUCUUUUAAACUUAAUAUAAAACUUAGCUUAUGUUAUCACUUGCAUGUAACCCCUAAAUGCAUUUUCAACCUGCAUCAUUUUCUUUACUCUUCCACAAUGCAUGAGCUGACAGACUUAUAACUUGUUUUUUUUUAACCACUUCUAGAAUACAAAACGUUAGGUUUUAACACUAACUUUUCACACAUUACACAAUAUCAUACCUUUCAAAACUAUUAUACUUUACAAAAUGUUCAAAAGCUAACAAAAUAAAACUCCGUUUGACGUGACAUUGGUAAUCACAGAUGACGUCAUCGGGCACGAACAUACAGACACUGAGAUAACGUUGUAUUCAUAUAUGUCCACAUUUUCAUACCACAGCCUUGUUACACGGCCCGAAAACACAUUCAGCGACAUGUACACAUUUAACAUUUCAGUUAUUUAACUUAAUUUACAAAUCUACCAACCUGAAACAGGAGAAAUAAAUGAGAGAGGGCAAAGUCUGUGUCCGUCUUCCAUCUCGCUCAGCAGAAAGAGAAAGACCGCAAAGCGGGACAACUAACGCGAAGCCCGGAAACACACAAAGCGCCACACUGCCCACUGCUGGCGAACUCCACAAUUUCUCCUGAUCUCGAUAUACCAUAUAAAUUAGUACAAGUGGAUGGUAGAAAUAGGCUAAUUAACCAUGAACAAAGUUCAAAAUAUUUCUUAAUAACAUUACCAUACCACAAAUGUGAUAACAAUUUACUGGGUAUCACAGAUGCGGACUCGCCAUGAACGAAUAAAGAUAUAAAGACAUGGAAAAGUUCCUCCCGUUGGCGCGCCCCUCGGGUGGGAAAUAGAGACGUGACAGGUGGGGCGCGCCAACGGGAUGAACUUUUCCCCACACUUUGAGCGGUGACUACCAUCUGUAGUUAGGGGGCCCCCUAGUGGCGGCGGGGACCUAAGCAGUUAGCUCAUAGGGAGAGCUGGUGCACGCGGCCACGAACUACACAGUUUUGAACAUACGUAGCCUAUUCACGCAGCCUUUCGAAAAACCGGGACAUUCAGUGUCCCGGGAGAGUGCUUAAAUUUCCCGGGACAGGUUAAUAAAAAGAAGGACAAUCCUGGUAAAACCGGGACAGGUGGCAACCCAAGUCUGAAGCAUCAAUGUCAACUUAGUCCAAUGGAAUGAAUGAGCGUCACGGCAGGUGACGUCAUGACCAGGAAGAGAUAAAAGCGCAUCCGGUGCAAACCGAAACUAGCUUCAAAAAAUGCAGAAGCAAGCCGAUCACAGGGAUGCAGGAAGUAUGGCAGGAGAUACUCCAGAUAUUAAGGCCUUGGAGACCGCCAUACUCCUAGUAGAGUGAGCCCUGACCACCAAAAGACACGGCUGGCCAGAAGACUCAUAAGCAAGAGAAAAGCCUUGACUAUCCACUUACUAACUGUCUGCUUAGAGGCAGGAAGACCUUUCUUGGGUGACCCAAAACAGACAAAUAAUUGAUCGGACUUCCUCCAUGGAGAAGACCGAUGAACAUAAGUGUCCAGUGCGACAAAAGGUUCAGCUUUUCCUGGUCCGAAGAAGUGAAAGGAGGAGGACAGAAAGCCUGCAGCACAAUAGGCCUCACUGCAUGAGAAGUGGGAUUUUUGGCAAUUAAUGGCACAUAAAAUUGUCGUGGAAUUUGAGGUUAACGGCUAUUAACAGGAAUUUUUGGUCAGCACCAAAAACUGUCAGGAACUGCCAGGAAUUGACGUGGGCUGUGUUUGAUGCCCCCAUGACCCCCCUACCCCCCGGUCUAGGGGUGGCUUUCACAUGGAAAUGAAAUCGCUGUGAGCCAUACAAAUGCAAAUCAAGUAAGUUAGCAGUGGUGGAGGUGUGAUUACCUUUCUGUAACCAGAUGCUUACAUUUUAACAAUGAUUUGUUCAUGCAAGUGACUACAACAUUUUUAACUAAAGUAACUUUUUUUCAUUUUCUUUAGUUUUAAAUAAUUCUUUGUAAUAUUUUCCUUCAAUUAUGUGAAAUAUAAUACAGAGGAAACGUUUGACCAAUAUUAAGGCAAUGAUGAAAGUUUAAUGACGUAUUGUCUGGAAAGGUAAUAAGUCACCCAUGUCAUAGUAAAACUUCAAAUAAUAGCUGAGUACCAAAUAGACACCUGUCUCUUUUACACGCCUGGUUUGACGACAAGUUAAAAGAUAAAUAAAGACCAGUCUCAAAUAGAGGUCUGGUCUGUUUUUUAGUUUCGGGUUGUAUUUAAUCUUCUAAAACCCGUCAGAUUGUCUGUUCAAGCCAGUUUUUUUUGAACGCUAGAGAGCCCUGCGGAUCUGGGCGGGAUCUGUUGGCGGAAGCCGGAGAGGGAGAAGUGGAGGAGAAAUUCGCCAAUGAACUUCUAAUUGAGGAUCGCUGUACAUGAUGAUAGUGAUGAAUAGGGUCAGUAUCACAUUAUUGCAGUUGUUUAUAACCUUCAGCGGCGCGUGAGCGGCGGGUGUUUUUUCGGCGUGCAUGUUAAUCAAUAAGUGCGUUCACACCGCGAGCAGGAGCAGCGCGUGAGCGUCAAGCAGGAGCAUCUGAAGAACAGUCCGAAAAUUGCGGUAAGACAUGGUCAUUUCUAAACUAAAAACAAUAAGAAUCACUGUGUGUUCACAGCAAGUAAGUUCACAAUAUAUUUUUUUUUUCUGCUUUUGUUUCAUAGGAAGCCGUCCGUCGCCUGCACAACUCCGAGACGAAUCACAGGCGCGCUAUGAUGCUGGGCAAAGACUGUGUUCGCCAAUGCAGCAGUCACAUCGUUUUUGGUCGGAGCUCUGCACGCAAGCCCGGAUUGUAUGGUGUUGACAACGAUGCGAUUGUGUCUGCUUGCGUCACAGGCGUCUGUACAGUGGAUCAUGUUCGGACAGAAAGCCACCACCACAUGGCCCAGAGGUGGACAGACAUUUCAUCCCCGAGCUGCGCAUUUGAUGUAUUUUGUUAUUGCUUGUUAAU